rnacentral:rRNA from 1 species
CACGGGGGGAGCAAGCGUUGUUCGGAAUCACUGGGCGUAAAGGGCGUGCAGGCGGUCAGGUAAGUGAGAUGUGAAAUGCCCCGGCUCACCCGGGGACCGGCAUCUCAUACUGCUUGGCUUGAGUACGGGAGAGGAUGUGGGAAUUCCUGGUGUAGCGGUGAAAUGCGUAGAUAUCAGGAGGAACACCGGUGGCGAAGGCGGGUCUCUGGGCCGAAAUUGACGCUGAGGAGCGAAAGCGUGGGGAGCAAACAGG